ensembl:lncRNA
AGUAGCAGCAGAGAUAUUGCCAAAGGAAAGAGGCCAACCAUCAGAACAGAGAUAUUCAAAGCUUUCUCAGGGGAACUGACUUUAUUUGCAACACAGUGUGGGGAAAUUUAAGUCUAAGGGCAUUCCCAGAAAUAAUGGAGAUUUGGGCAGUAAGCAAUUGAGAGGGGGCUGGUAGAUUCAUGAGAACAACAGUUUAAACCCAACUAAUUAAUGAAGAGAACAGGGGAAAGAAACAACUAAGAAGAACCCACCUGGAGUCAAAACAAAACAAAACAAAAAAUACCUAAAAGACUGGUAUCGAAAACCAUCCCUGCAAAGGAGCCUGGAUUUAAUGGGAUCAGAGUGUGGAACAAUGUGUGCCUCCAGGGCAUUGCAGAAAACAGUAGAGCAAUCAGCUGGCCAGGAGUGGAGGCUAAGAGCUGGCCAUAUUACUAACAGGGCAGACAGACAUCUUAACAGAGAGAUCAGCAAAGGAGAGUCAAAGAGAACCCAGCUACAGCCAUGGUAUCCCAGGAUGGCUGUGUGCGCACUCAUGGCUGCACAACGUGUGGGGAACAGAUUUCACUAAAACAGUCCAGCAGAGUCACUAAACAAGUCAGCAAGCAAACAACGACAAAAACAAGUCCCAAGGAGGGAGGUUGCUACAGGACAUUAUGAAAAACGGCCAGUGGGACCAAGUCACAGGGAAAGAACAGGCAACAGAAAACAGCAUUUCAUCAAAUACCUCAGAGAUGAACCCUUGUGUGGAGAUGAUGGAGCCACAAGUUCUGAGCACUUCUGGCUGCUCAGCAACUUUAAUGAGGACAGAUGCCCGUAGAGUGACCUGGAGCCAGAGAGGCCUCUACACACAUGGAUAUCCACAAGCUUUGAAAUUGGACAGGACCGGGGCCAAACAGAAAACAGUGGACACAACCUAAAAUGACACAAAUUCCUUCUGAGUGACUGGCUUUCUCACCAGUCCCUGUGCCCAGCCCACGUCAUUCUUCCUCCUCCUGAGCAGCAAGCACUGAACUGGCCCUGCUUCUUGACAGUAUUCAGUCCGGAGCUGGUCUCUGCUUCCCUUGUCCCUCCUUAGAAUUAUUAAACCUGAAUUCACAUCAGUAAAACCCAGUGCCUUCCAGUGAAAUACAAAAGCUCCUCUGAAAGGUGCUGUUCUCCCUCGCUACAGCAAAUUAAUUGUAGUCUUUCUCUUUCUCUCCUUCUCUCUCUCCUUCUCUCCCUUCCUUUCUGUGCUGCUUUCUUUCUUUUCUUUUUCACUACAGGCAUACUCUUAGUUGCCAUUGAUCAGUGAGCUUUAAAAUGCCCUGUCCUAGCUAUUUCAUUCAUAUUGGCAGGGAUAAACAAAAUAAAAAUAAGUAAAAGAGCUGCCAGGCUGCUUUGAAAGCUGGUGUGGAGUAAGGCUAUUUUACUUGCCUAUUCUUACUACACCUGUGCUUUGAGAUUAUAUUUAGCCCAUCAGACGCCUUGUUUACUUAUUUCCUUCUUCCAAUCCAACUGCUCCGUUUCUUUUUCUCUGCCACUCCUUUGCUCUGUGUGUAGAUUCAAACGGGAAUGUGAUAUUUUUUAAAGGCAUAAUUAUAUGUCUACAUCAGAUAACCAAGAAGACAUUAGCCUGAUUUAAUUAUGGUGGCAAAUCAUC